ensembl:lncRNA
GGAAGGGGUGGGAAGAGCUCGCAGCACCGCCGGGCGCCCGUCGGGCUCUAGGAGAGAGAAAUCCGGUUAAAUUCGGAGUCGGAGGGAGGUUUAACCACAGAUCGCUUCUCAUCCGAUUAUUCCUUAAAGGGGACGCGCCAUUGUCAAGAGAACGGAGCCUGGGGCCCGAGGGCGGGGACCGGCGGCGCCUAGGAGCAAGGCAGCUGCACUUGGACUGGGAACGGGACAUCAAGGUAGCCCCACGACAGUGCAACUCAACCCUCGAUGAAAGAGCACUUCCAGAACUGCUUCAGAAAGUGGCAAGAACAAUGAGAUAAGUAUACAUAGGAAAUGAAGACAAUACAUAGGAAAUGAAGACAGGUAUUCAGACAAAUACUUGGAUAAUGGGUACCAAAUGCAGUUAGAAAGGUGGUAUGUCAUUAGAAUGGUUGUUAUCAAAAAGAAAAUAAAAAGAGAAAUUAUCAAAUCAAAUGCUGGCAAAGAUGUGGGAAAAGGGAAUUCUUCUACACUGUUGGUAGAUAUGUUAACUAAUACAGUCUUUGAAAACAUUAUAGAGGUUCCUCGAAAAGCUAAAAAUAUAGAGCUAUGAUUUGAUCCAAGAAUCCUACGACUGGAUGUAUCUCCAAAGGAAUGAACUCAGUAUGUCAAUGAGACAUUUGUACUCCCGUUUUUGAAGUCAACCUAGGUGUCCAUCGAGCGAUGAAUGUAUUUUACCCUGAUUAAGAAAAAUGCAUCAGUAAAUACAGAUCAGUUAAAUAGUAUGGAAAGUUUAGAAAUAAACCCUUACAUUUACGAUCCAGGUUGUAUUUUUGUUUCCCUUCCCCAACAAAGAUGACAAUUGAGGAAAAGAAUGGUCUUCUCAAUAAAUGGUACUGAGACAACUGGAUUUCUACAUCAAAAGAAUAAAUCUGAAUUCCUCCUUCAUACUAUACACAAAAUUAAAAUUGGA